GCCUAACACAUGCAAGUCGAGCGGUAGCACAGAGAGCUUGCUCUCGGGUGACGAGCGGCGGACGGGUGAGUAAUGUCUGGGAAACUGCCUGAUGGAGGGGGAUAACUACUGGAAACGGUAGCUAAUACCGCAUAACGUCGCAAGACCAAAGUGGGGGACCUUCGGGCCUCAUGCCAUCAGAUGUGCCCAGAUGGGAUUAGCUAGUAGGUGGGGUAACGGCUCACCUAGGCGACGAUCCCUAGCUGGUCUGAGAGGAUGACCAGCCACACUGGAACUGAGACACGGUCCAGACUCCUACGGGAGGCAGCAGUGGGGAAUAUUGCACAAUGGGCGCAAGCCUGAUGCAGCCAUGCCGCGUGUGUGAAGAAGGCCUUCGGGUUGUAAAGCACUUUCAGCGGGGAGGAAGGCGGUGAGGUUAAUAACCUCAUCGAUUGACGUUACCCGCAGAAGAAGCACCGGCUAACUCCGUGCCAGCAGCCGCGGUAAUACGGAGGGUGCAAGCGUUAAUCGGAAUUACUGGGCGUAAAGCGCACGCAGGCGGUCUGUCAAGUCGGAUGUGAAAUCCCCGGGCUCAACCUGGGAACUGCAUUCGAAACUGGCAGGCUAGAGUCUUGUAGAGGGGGGUAGAAUUCCAGGUGUAGCGGUGAAAUGCGUAGAGAUCUGGAGGAAUACCGGUGGCGAAGGCGGCCCCCUGGACAAAGACUGACGCUCAGGUGCGAAAGCGUGGGGAGCAAACAGGAUUAGAUACCCCUGGUAGUCCACGCCGUAAACGAUGUCGAUUUGGAGGUUGUGCCCUUGAGGCGUGGCUUCCGGAGCUAACGCGUUAAAUCGACCGCCUGGGGAGUACGGCCGCAAGGUUAAAACUCAAAUGAAUUGACGGGGGCCCGCACAAGCGGUGGAGCAUGUGGUUUAAUUCGAUGCAACGCGAAGAACCUUACCUGGUCUUGACAUCCACAGAACUUUCCAGAGAUGGAUUGGUGCCUUCGGGAACUGUGAGACAGGCGCUGCAUGGCUGUCGUCAGCUCGUGUUGUGAAAUGUUGGGUUAAGUCCCGCAACGAGCGCAACCCUUAUCCUUUGUUGCCAGCGGUUAGGCCGGGAACUCAAAGGAGACUGCCAGUGAUAAACUGGAGGAAGGUGGGGAUGACGUCAAGUCAUCAUGGCCCUUACGACCAGGGCUACACACGUGCUACAAUGGCAUAUACAAAGAGAAGCGACCUCGCGAGAGCAAGCGGACCUCAUAAAGUAUGUCGUAGUCCGGAUUGGAGUCUGCAACUCGACUCCAUGAAGUCGGAAUCGCUAGUAAUCGUAGAUCAGAAUGCUACGGUGAAUACGUUCCCGGGCCUUGUACACACCGCCCGUCACACCAUGGGAGUGGGUUGCAAAAGAAGUAGGUAGCUUAACAAUCGGGAGGGCGCUUACCACUUUGUGAUUCAUGACUGGC
rnacentral:rRNA from 1 species